rnacentral:rRNA from 1 species
GGGUUGUGAGGUUAAGCGACUAAGCGUACACGGUGGAUGCCCUGGCAGUCAGAGGCGAUGAAGGACGUGCUAAUCUGCGAUAAGCGUCGGUAAGGUGAUAUGAACCGUUAUAACCGGCGAUUUCCGAAUGGGGAAACCCAGUGUGAUUCGUCACACUAUCAUUAACUGAAUCCAUAGGUUAAUGAGGCGAACCGGGGGAACUGAAACAUCUAAGUACCCCGAGGAAAAGAAAUCAACCGAGAUUCCCCCAGUAGCGGCGAGCGAACGGGGAGCAGCCCAGAGCCUGAAUCAGUGUGUGUGUUAGUGGAAGCGUCUGGAAAGGCGCGCGAUACAGGGUGACAGCCCCGUACACAAAAAUGCACAUGCUGUGAGCUCGAUGAGUAGGGCGGGACACGUGGUAUCCUGUCUGAAUAUGGGGGGACCAUCCUCCAAGGCUAAAUACUCCUGACUGACCGAUAGUGAACCAGUACCGUGAGGGAAAGGCGAAAAGAACCCCGGCGAGGGGAGUGAAAAAGAACCUGAAACCGUGUACGUACAAGCAGUGGGAGCACGCUUCGGCGUGUGACUGCGUACCUUUUGUAUAAUGGGUCAGCGACUUAUAUUCUGUAGCAAGGUUAACCGAAUAGGGGAGCCGAAGGGAAACCGAGUCUUAACUGGGCGUUAAGUUGCAGGGUAUAGACCCGAAACC